rnacentral:rRNA from 1 species
GACGAACGCUGGCGGCGUGCUUAACACAUGCAAGUCGAACGGAAAGGCCCUGCUUGCAGGGUCCUCGAGUGGCGAACGGGUGAGUAACACGUGGGUGAUCUGCCCUGCACUUCGGGAUAAGCCUGGGAAACUGGGUCUAAUACCUGCUAGGAGCCAUUUUUGGUGUGAUGGUUGGAAAGUUUUUUUCGGUGUAGGGUGAGCUCGCGGCCUAUCAGCUUGUUGGGGGGGUAAUGGCCUACCAAGCCGGCGACGGGUAGCCGGCCUGAGAGGGUGGACGGCCACAUUGGGACUGAGAGACAGCCCAGACACCUACGGGAGGGAGAAGUGGGGAAAAUUGCACAAUGGGGGCAAGCCCGAUGCAGAGAAGCCGCGUGGGGGAUGACGGGCUUUGGGUUGUAAAAUCCUUUCGCUAGGGACGAAGCUUUUUGUGACGGUAACUAGAUAAGAAGCACCGGCUAACUACGUG